GACGAACGCUGGCGGCGUGCUUAACACAUGCAAGUCGAACGGAAAGGCCCUGCUUUUGUGGGGUGCUCGAGUGGCGAACGAGUGAGUAACACGUGAGUAACCUGCCCUUGACUUUGGGAUAACUUCAGGAAACUGGGGCUAAUACCGGAUAGGAGCUCCUGCUGCAUGGUGGGGGUUGGAAAGUUUCGGCGGUUGGGGAUGGACUCGCGGCUUAUCAGCUUGUUGGUGGGGUAGUGGCUUACCAAGGCUUUGACGGGUAGCCGGCCUGAGAGGGUGACCGGCCACAUUGGGACUGAGAUACGGCCCAGACUCCUACGGGAGGCAGCAGUGGGGAAUAUUGCACAAUGGGCGGAAGCCUGAUGCAGCAACGCCGCGUGCGGGAUGAUGGCCUUCGGGUUGUAAACCGCUUUCGCCUGUGACGAAGCGUGAGUGACGGUAAUGGGUAAAGAAGCACCGGCUAACUACGUG
rnacentral:rRNA from 1 species